CAACAGAGAUUGAGAAAACAAGAAGAAGGCAAAAUCAUGUUCAAAAAAUAAUUAGAAGGAAACACCCCAUCAUCCAUUACUGAUUUCAGCCUUUAAGAUAAUUACAAUAUGCUAUAAAUUGCAUGCUGGUGUGCAUAUAAAUAACGGAAAACAGUUAAAGAUUAUAUAUCUGUGUGUAUACGUAUAAAGCAAUACUUAUUCUAUUUGCUAUUUAGACAACAUUGCUAUUACAUCACAAUAAUAUGACAUAUUUAGCAAAUUAAACAAGAUAUUGUCCAAACUGCUUAAAGGAGCUAGUUGCAAGUGUAGACAUAUACUUCUCAUCAAUGCUCUAAAUUGGUAGCAUAUAUGUGACUAUAAUUUUUUUGUCUUUUAAAAUAUAGGGAACAAAAAUAGAUUAUUCUAUAUAUCU
rnacentral:lncRNA from 1 species